AUAAGAAUAUAAGUAUCUUCGAAUAAAGAUGUGACUUUUACAUUCACUACUUAUAUUUAGUUAGUUCUAGAAAUGAGACUUUGUGUCCUACAAACCAGCCCUGAUGCACAGCUAUGUGUUGACAGAGUAGGGAACUUCUAAUUGGCUUUUCAAAAUAAAUUACAUUGUCAGAGAAAACAAUUGUCUCAGAUAAAUAUCAUUUAAGGCUUAGAAAAAGGGGAUUGCCCUUCCCCACAUUCACAUACACUCUCGCCUGCCUACCAAGGCCAGCCCCCUCUGCUGGGUGGGAUGUCAGUAGUGACAUAGAGAUGAGGAAUAGGAAACCUUCAGAAAACCUUCUCAGACUGAGGGAGGAGCAUGAUCUGGAAUAGUGAUAUCAAGACAGGAACUUUUCUCACUGAAGACUCCUGAGGAGAGAAAUGGCCUCUUUUAGACUUGACCCGAUGAUGCAUUCCAAGUUUUUCUUCUAUAUCAUCAUUUAUCUCUUAAUAGCAGGUGGUCAGCCAGAUGUGAGAGUCACUCAAUAUCCAAGUUACCUGGUCUCAAGAACAGGACAGUCAGUGAUCCUUGAAUGUGACCCUGCUUCAGGACACCUUACAGCACUGUGGUACCAGCAGUUAAAGGGUCAAGGGCCUGAGAUGCUUUUUUACUUCUAUAAUAAGGAAUUAAAUGAUAAAAGGACAAACACUAAUCGAUUCACAGCUAAGCAGGAUAAAAACUUCCAGCUCAACAUCAGUUCCUUGCAGCAGGAGGAUUCUGCCCUCUAUCUCUGUGCCAGCAGCAAAGACACAGUGCCACAGGGGCAGCUCUCAUGUGUUCAUAAACUUGUUGGACCCAAGCCCAGGGAGCAAAGAUAG